rnacentral:lncRNA from 1 species
ACGACUCCGAUAAGCUCGGAUCUCCGCCAGGGAUUCCAGGGGUGGUUGCUGGUGCCCCGGAAUCGAUUUCUUCCCCCUGGCAUUAUAAACUCGUAGCUCCCACGACUGUUUCCCCUCUUCUCGCCCACUCGCACCCACGUCUGCUGAGCCAUAUUGCCACCACCGCUGCCGCAAGCUCGAAGUGGAGUCCGUCGUCGUUGACCGGCAGAUUCACCAGUGUGCGUGCCUCGGUACCUGAUCUGGUGUGGUUGUGGCGUCGUCCCGGUGGUGACCACGAGUUUUUUGGCCCCAGGUACCUCACCGUAAUUGCUCGCCAUCGAGCAGGGGCUUCACGCGUCGGCCAUCGGAACCAGUGAUCUCCGCUCCAAGAUUUCCGGUACAAGACACUCACUCGUAUUCGCUUUAAUCUGCAGUACCUUUCACGUUGUACGAAAUUCGAGUUUAGGUUUCACUUCGCCUACGGGCUAUCACUGGCGGGGGGCGCGGCCGCCGGAGUGGUAGUCGCUGGAGUCCCCCGGCGAAGGUAUGAGGGUAGAGAUUAGAUGGCGAAUGUGCCCCUUCGUGAAAUCCAUCUCGGCAGUAAGAUUGUGAUCGGACGGGCGAGAGGAGUUGGGGUAUGAGUGAUUUUAGGCCGUCGAUUACGGAUCCAGUGGCCUGUUUUCAGUACUGGUUCGGAGAUUUAUCAGUACCGUGGAUCAAUGAUCCUACGGUUGAGAGCGAGCGGGGAGCCGUGCGAUGUGCACCACGGAUCUUGUAUCCGACGACUAGGAUCGGGUCCUGGUUCAAAGUAAUAGAGAUCUAAUCUGGGCCCUAGAGUUCUGAUCGGAUGAUUCCGAUUACGCAGUAACCCUUCGGCCUUGUAAUCUUGCUAAAGAACCCCUAGCUUUAUUAGAAACUAACCCGCCGUCCCGUGCUCUGUUGACUGAGUCUCGAGAUUUUUACGAAGUCGCCCCUACACUCUCUGUUUAUUACACACGCAGUUCAGAUAGUUGUAAAACCGAUAGAAUCAUUUAGAAAAUGAUUUUUUAAUAUAAAAUAAUUGCAGAAACUUAUUUAAUUCCUAGAAAAAUUCAUAUUAAGUCCAAAUUGAUCCAUUCCAGUUUCUAUAAUUUUGUAAUAUUAUUGUUUAUCAAUUAGUGCCACUAUUUUGACAUAAAAGCCACAUUAAAAUGGAUCUCUUAAUUAAUCUUGUACCAAGCACAUAAAACCUUUGGAAAUUCAUAACUUAAAAUCCAUAACUCCAAAUUUAAUGAUCCUUUUUCCUAUGAUCUUAUUUUAAUAUGUAGAUUAUUAAUAUGCAUUUUGUAUACAUGUUUGGUGUGAUGUCAAUUUUUCCUUUGUACUAUGCUUGUUUGUAUUAUGGCGAGUAGAAGAGCCAGUGGCUGAGGAUCCCGAUGUUCAGCAGAUAGAAGUUGUUGAGCAGGAGCUCAUUGAAGGCAAGUUGUGCCCUUGACCACUUCUAUUACACAAUAAUGUUCGUUGUUAUCACUUAUUCAUGCAUAGGAUUAAUUUUGAUGGGACCCAAUAGGUCACCCUAUACUAGUUAUCCUUUUUACCUUGUUCACCCCUGAAUCAUUUGGGUAUUUUGCUAUUGCUCUAUAUGGUUUUGGCUUUAAUAUUACAUUAUGCCCAUGUUCCAAUUAUUUUGUUAUUUUAUUUAUGUUCAUGUCAAGAUCAUUAUUUUAAUUGGAACAUGGAGCUUAACUUGAGAAACACGUGCCACCACAAGGGUGGAAUGGGACGCCCUUGGAGGACUAACUAGGAAAGCUAGUGGAGGACUACCUUACCCGAUAGGGGCAAGGGCAGUUGAGGAGUAGACAUGUAGCGAGGUUCCCGGGUUGAUUUUGCUGUGAUGGCGGUCAGACGGGGGAUUUCUGCAUUCCUCUUCCUAGAAACUGUAGCGGGUUUUCUGAAGCUAGUGGAACUAGGUAAAGGCCUCGUAGUGUUACCCUGUCUCGCUUCCUUGGUAGAGGUGUAUGGGGCCCGUACAACCCCAUGGCAGAUGGGUAACAUGACUUGUGGGUACAGGGUACAACCUCCGCAGAGUGUAAAACUAGUAUACUAGUCUGCUCGUGGUCAUGAGCAGCUCAGGACUCUCGCAUGAGUAAACUAUGGAACUAAAUUCAAUUUAUCAUUUGCAUUGCAUGGGAUUUAUUAUUAAUUUUGUUCUAUUAUUUCUAUUAUGGUUUGGUAUUUACUUAAAUCUAGUAAUUGCUAAUAAAAUGUGACCAACUUAUUAAAAGCAAUGCUCAGCUUUAACCCUUAUUAUCGAUCAGUCUUACACUUCACAUGGACUCCCACCUUUGGUGAGUUCAUGCAUAUUAUUCCCCACGACUUGUUUAGCUAUGAUCUUUUGUGAGCACACACUUGCGAUAUAUAACCCCCCCCCCACAGGAGAAGAACAGGUGGCCCAGGAGGAGCCGCACAACGAGGAGUUCGACUUGAUCUAGGUGGCGUCUCCUAGUCGACUUUAUGGCGCCAAGGAUGGACUUUAGUUUGUUUUAUAUUUAUCUUUUAUUUUGUAAGACUUCCG